GAUGAACGCUAGCUACAGGCUUAACACAUGCAAGUCGAGGGGCAGCAUGGUCUUAGCUUGCUAAGGCCGAUGGCGACCGGCGCACGGGUGAGUAACACGUAUCCAACCUGCCGUCUACUCUUGGACAGCCUUCUGAAAGGAAGAUUAAUACAAGAUGGCAUCAUGAGUCCGCAUGUUCACAUGAUUAAAGGUAUUCCGGUAGACGAUGGGGAUGCGUUCCAUUAGAUAGUAGGCGGGGUAACGGCCCACCUAGUCUUCGAUGGAUAGGGGUUCUGAGAGGAAGGUCCCCCACAUUGGAACUGAGACACAGUCCAAACUCCUACGGGAGGCAGCAGUGGGGAAUAUUGGUCAAUGGGCGCAGGCCUGAACCAGCCAAGUAGCGUGAAGGAUGACUGCCCUAUGGGUUGUAAACUUCUUUUAUAAAGGAAUAAAGUCGGGUAUGUAUACCCGUUUGCAUGUACUUUAUGAAUAAGGAUCGGCUAACUCCGUG
rnacentral:rRNA from 1 species